GGGGUUGUGGCUUAGAGGUAGAGUGUUCACCUACCAUGUGUGAGGCCCUGAGUUCUAUCCUCUGCACCACA
rnacentral:tRNA from 1 species